UACGUAGGGGGCAAGCGUUGUCCGGAUUUAUUGGGCGUAAAGAGCGUGUAGGCGGUUCGGUAGGUCCGUUGUGAAAACUCGAGGCUCAACCUCGAGACGCCGAUGGAAACCCUCGAACUAGAGUCCGGAAGAGGAGAGUGGAAUUCCUGGUGUAGCGGUGAAAUGCGCAGAUAUCAGGAAGAACACCCGUGGCUAAGGCGGGUCUCUGGGCCGAUACUGACGCUGAGGAGCGAAAGCGUGGGGAGCGAACAGG
rnacentral:rRNA from 1 species